AUGGAAAAAAAUCAAUUUCUUAGCUCAACCAUGUAGAUUAAUUUAUUAAUGAUCUUGAAAAGUAUGUAAAAAUUUACCUUCAUUUUAACCAUCUGGAAUAAGAGGGCCAGGAAAAAACAAGAAAUGAAGCUUUGACUGGCUGGCAGUUGUUGUGCAAGACCAAAGGCCCCAGGCUGUUAAGGAGAUGAGUUUAUUCUGGCCAUUGCAACUGGGAGAACGUCCAUUUCUGCACAAGAGGGUGUCAAAGCAACGGAAAGAGGCUUGGGAUUUUAAAAGGUGAAGCACACAUUUCAUUUUCAGAACACUGAGAGAGUAAGGGCUGCAUUUUUUCAAAUUUUCCAUCGGGUGAGAAAACAUCCCCAGUGGUUGCUCGUGUGUAAAAAUAGACCACCUCUGAGUACGUGGUUUUACUUCAAUUGCCAUGAGACAUUAUGAACAAAAACAAAAAUUCUAAAAAAUAAAUGCCACUUCUUUCAAUGACUGAAUGAUGAGUACAAUAUAUACUGAUUCUGUGCGUGUGUUAUUGCAGAACAAUAAAGAACCCUCAACUCAGUCUGUUUCCUUUGCUGUGAAUGCACAGCUGGAAGAGGUCUUAGGAGCUUCCUCAUCUACCUCUUCCAUUGUACAAAUAAGCAAACUGAGGGUCUGGAGCACAUUUAAACUGUACUUAAGAAAGAAAGGAGACAGGAUCUCUCUUGACUCUUUGUUGAGCACAGUCUCACUAAUCUGGAGGUCUUCACAAAGCAGUGGCCAAAAGCAGGACCAGAUGAUGAGUGAAGAAUCAGGGUGUCUAGUCAGUAUUUAUGGACAGCUCCUACUAUCUUCUAUAACAGUUGUAUGAUUAAAAAGUGGCAUGAAAUGGUUCCGGCACUGGAAGAUACAAAAAUAUCAUGUGCCUAGAAUCAGCUUGUACAGUGAAAAGUGCAGACCCCAGAAUCAGGUAGAACUGAAGAGUGAAUGACUUCUCCUUCACCUGUACGACCUUGGGCAAGCUACCGCGCCUUUCUGACACUCCGCUUAUCCAUAAAUCGGAGUUAAAAAUACCUGCUUCAUGGAAGUGCAGUGCAGCCUAAGUGAAAUAGCAUGCAGAUGGCAGUCUUUCCCUGUGGUUAGCCCACCUUUGGUGUCACCUGCCCUGGACCAGCGGAAGAGAAAUCACCUUUAGUUAUUAUGUCACAAUGACAUACAUGUUUGUUGAACUGUAACAAUAUCAUCCAUUAGCCUAUCAGGGGCUGGAAGCAUUUUGGACUCAAGCAAUGAAGAGUUUUUAUUUUCUCAUUUAAUUUUUUAUUUUUAAAUCUCCAUCUCAGUUUCUAAAAUGUAUAACUGGAAAAUAAAGGAGAAAACAAGGAAGACACGCAGGGAAUAUAAAUAUGCAUUUGUGGUAAAAUUAUUUGUUCUUGCAAGAGAAGACAAAUCACUCCUGGUGUCAAUGUGAGGUUAUGAUUUCACUCCAUAGUUUAGAAUGAAAAGAAAGGCAUGUGGUUUGUGGUGUAUAUUUGUGCAGAUGUGUGUGAAACAACGUGUUUUUUAAUCACUCCUGCUUCUAGAGCAAACAGUCAUUCUGUCCAGCCGUUGGUGCCAGCCUUGGGCUGGUUAGCUAAGGGCAGAUUUUAUGAAACCAGAGCCAAACAAGCUUAACUCAUAUGAGAUAAGUUCUCUUCCAUUUCUAAAACUGGGAA
rnacentral:lncRNA from 1 species